rnacentral:rRNA from 1 species
UACGUAGGGUGCGAGCGUUAAUCGGAAUACUGGGCGUAAAGCGUGCGCAGGCGGUUUUGUAAGACUGUCGUGAAAUCCCCGGGCUCAACCUGGGAAUGGCGAUGGUGACUGCAAGGCUAGAGUUUGGCAGAGGGGGGUAGAAUUCCACGUGUAGCAGUGAAAUGCGUAGAUAUGUGGAGGAACACCGAUGGCGAAGGCAGCCCCCUGGGUCAAAACUGACGCUCAUGCACGAAAGCGUGGGGAGCAAACAGG